rnacentral:rRNA from 1 species
AACGGAGAGGGCGAGUGUUGUUCGUAUUGACUGGGUGUAAAACAUGCGCAGACAGCUAAAAAGUUUAAUUUUAAAUAACACGAAAACUUGGUCAAUUAUUAAAUACUUUUUUCUUGAGUAACUUGGAGGUUUACAGAAUUUUAGGUGUAGAGGUGAAAUUCGUUAAAAUUUAAGGAACUUACUGCGGCGAAGGCGGUAAACCAUUUUUUACUGACGUUGAUGUAUGAAAGCGUGGGUAUCAAACCGGAUUAGAUACCCUAGUAGU